rnacentral:rRNA from 1 species
AAGCUCGUAGUUGAAAUUGUGUCCGGCGGCGUCGGUCUACCGAUUGCGGUACGACAGGCGCGUCUGCGGGACUUCUCGCCGGUGCGUGAACCGCCGAAGCGAGUCGGUCGUCCCUCGCGGUCUGGCCGCUCUCGCCGAGGCGGAACGUUGCGGCUGUUUACUUUGAACAAAUUAGAGUGCUCAAAGCGGGCUAACACACGCCUGAAUAUUGUACGCAUGGAAUAAUAGAAUAGGACCUCGGUUCUGUUUUGUUGGCUUUCUGAUACCAGAGGUAAUGAUUAAUAGGGACAACUGGGGGCAUUCGUAUUGCGACGUUAGAGGUGAAAUUCUUGGAUCGUCGCAAGACGGACUAAAGCGAAAGCAUUUGCCAAAGGUGUUUUCAUUAAUCAAGAACGAAAGUUAGAGGUUCGAAGGCGAUUAGAUACCGCUGUAGUUCUAACCAUAAAUGAUGCCAGCCAGCGAUCCGCCGAAGUUUCAUAAUCUUAACCCGGUGGGCAGCUCCCGGGAAACCAA